CACAUGCUCAUCCUCGUGGUUGGUAGCUGAACACAAGCCACCUAAACCUCGGGACUCAGAAGGCAUAGGAUCCAAAUCACUUUGAUGUCUUUCAAGUUUGACAUCAGCUGAGGUUUCAUCAUCCUUCUCACCCUUCAUUCCACUUGCAUUUGCAGAAACCAGAUCACUUGAAGAGCCUGAAGCCUGAAGUAAUCCAUCGUUCCUUAAUUUAGCAGAAUCACUGUUCAACUUGGAAGAUGACCUUUGAUCUGCUGUACUAAUACCAUUCAGCCUAUUAUUGGUAUUGCCAUCAACGUCUUGCCGCCGAUGCAAAGGCUCAUCAAGAACAUCCAUUUCAACUUCCCGAGUCGAGAUACCAUCACCAACUAUGCCACCAUCAGGAAAAGAACUGCUUGGUUUUGGUUUCGAUUCUGGGCUGCUCUCUCCAUCUACUACAUCAGCCGUCUUUCUGUCCUUGACUGGUUUAGCCCCCUUGAUCUCAAAACCCUUCUCUGGUAUCCUAGUGGGAGAGGCAGGGCCUCCAACCUCGUUCAUUUUCAUACACCCAUCAGCCAUCGCCACAGCAGUUUGUUGCAAGUUUACACCAGAAGAUUUUGAAUGACCAUUCAGAUCUCCAACCGGUUUCUCUUCAGAUUGCAAAACAGACCUUCCAUCCACAUUUUUGCCUCCAAAGGAACUGGUGAUCAG
rnacentral:misc_RNA from 1 species